AACAAGAGAGAUUAUCUUCAUGUACAUUUAAUGUAUUUAUGUAUUAAAUGUAGCCCUACACUUAUUAAAUGUCACUAUCAAACCUGUGCAAACAAUAUGCAAAGUUAAAGCACUCAGAAAUGUUUAAACUGUUCAAUCAUAAGAAACAAAUGAUCUUUCAUUUUAUUAUCAAACAAAGUGUUUCUGUCCACUGUGCAUCAAAUUAUGCAAAAUAUGUUACUUGCACACAGUCAAGCUGUUGACUUAAAGGGUGUGUAUUGGGUGAUAGCCCAGACGAAUGUUCAGAAUAAGCCACAUGACGGAGAAGAGCUGGAACGCUUUGCUGUCUUUGUAUUCUCGUAAUUUGGAAUAGAAUGAGGGAUUACCAUCUGAUCUCUGUUAUGAAAAGAAUCCAUUUAAUAAUGUAAAUAAUACCAGGCAAUCAAGAAGAUGUUAAUGCAUAAUAUCUGCUUCAGAAACCACAUUCUACACCUUAUCUUUUAACCUUGCUCCAUGGAUGUGUUAACUAUUCAUAUCGUGGAGGACUCGUCUGAUAGUGCCGUGUUCUGGGUCCAGGUUGAGUGUGCUAAUCCUUUCCUGCUAAACUUCUGGUUCCAAAAGACUUUCUUCAACAAUGGGGAAGUCCAGCAGAUCAACAUCCUGAGGAUAAACGGCUGUCAUGGGCUAGUGUUUGUUUUGAGGGUGCUGCAUCGUUCUUCACGCCUGCCUAAUUCCCAUUAUUGGUGCCCUUUCCUAGUGACACUGUGCCUCGAUGCCCUGGCAUUUCACUACCACCUCCCCACCCUGCCCCAGUGGAAUGGCACCCUUCGAGAGGCAAUGAGAGGAAACAGCCUUGAGCUCAGACGCUGAGAGACUAUGAGACUUUGCUGCUUAGAGAGCC